rnacentral:rRNA from 1 species
GUCCCUGCCGUAAACGAUGCACACUUGGUGUAGCCGGACUCAACCCUGGCUGUGCCGUAGCUAACGCGUUAAGUGUGCCGCCUGGGGAGUACGCCCGCAAGGGUGAAACUCAAAAGAAUUGACGGGGACCCGCACAAGCAGUGGAGUAUGUGGUUUAAUUCGAUGCAACGCGCAGAACCUUACCCAGACUUGACAUGCAGAGGACAGCGCCAGAAAUGGCGUCUCCCGCAAGGGUCUCUGCACAGGUGCUGCAUGGCUGUCGU